AUUUUCAGAUAAUCGCGGUUUGACUUGAUCAAGCUGAGGAAAGUCCAUGCUCGCACAAGCUGCGAUGCUUGUAGUGUUCGUGCCUAGCGAAACCAUAAGCUAGGGUACUUUAAUAAAAGUAACGGCAGGAAAAAACGGCUAAGGCUUUGCUAUGCCCCAGUAUCCUUGAAAGUGCCACAGUGACGAAGCAACAUGGGAAACCUUGUUGGUGGAACGCGGUAAACCCCUCGAGCGAGCAACCCAAACAAUGGUAGGGGCGCUUUUUGUAACGGAAAUGAACGGGACAAAGAGGCAAUUUUAUUGCAGAUAGAUGAUUAUCCAAGUUAUUCUGCUCCCUGUAGAAUAAUUGGACAAAACAUGGCUUAUAGAA
rnacentral:RNase_P_RNA from 2 species